ensembl:lncRNA
CGUGAGGCUGGCGUGGUUGAAGUGGUUAUUCUGGAAGCCAUCUUCACAGUUUAAGGCCAAGAAGAUGCUGCCACUUUUCAAGUACUACAUGGAAUUAGUAGUAAAGGGUCCUCUGUUUCACUGGCAAAAAGACUGGAGUCAGGAAUAAGGCCGCGGGUUGGAUCCUUGGGUUCUUUUUCCACUGAUGAAAUGAAGGCACACAGCCAUUACUAAUGGCCUUGGAAGACAGCCGCAGCAGGAACUACCGCAGUCACCAACUCCAUCUAGUGGGAAGAAAUCAGAAACAAAUGCUAUAGCUUAUGCAUACAAUUUAGACAAGCAUAAGCCGUGCAUACCUGCAUGUUCACGACUUGGAUUUGAACAUCUCUUUCACAAAAAGUCAAAGAUGUUAAAGGUGCUUUGUUUAUCCUAUUUACCUGUGGAAACAGCCCCUAUCCCCACCUCCAAAAUAAAUGAAUACUUUGAGGAUGCCUUAUGCUAAACCUUUGGCUCAUCAAGUGUGUUGAGUGUUAGAAUACUUAACACUGCCCUUCUCCACUAUCACUCAGCAGACUUACUCUUUUUC